UACGUAGGGUGCGAGCGUUGUCCGGAAUUACUGGGCGUAAAGAGCUCGUAGGUGGUUUGUCACGUUGUUCGUGAAAACUCACAGCUUAACUGUGGGCUUGCGGGCGAUACGGGCAGACUGGAGUACUGCAGGGGAGACUGGAAUUCCUGGUGUAGCGGUGGAAUGCGCAGAUAUCAGGAGGAACACCGGUGGCGAAGGCGGGUCUCUGGGCAGUAACUGACGCUGAGGAGCGAAAGCGUGGGGAGCGAACAGG
rnacentral:rRNA from 1 species